AUUGAACGCUGGCGGCAGGCCUAACACGUGCAAGUCGAACGGUAACAGGAAGAAGCUUGCUUCUUUGCUGACGAGUGGCGGACGGGUGAGUAAUGUCUGGGAAACUGCCUGAUGGAGGGGGAUAACUACUGGAAACGGUAGCUAAUACCGCAUAACGUCGCAAGACCAAAGAGGGGGACCUUCGGGCCUCUUGCCAUCGGAUGUGCCCAGAUGGGAUUAGCUAGUAGGUGGGGUAACGGCUCACCUAGGCGACGAUCCCUAGCUGGUCUGAGAGGAUGACCAGCCACACUGGAACUGAGACACGGUCCAGACUCCUACGGGAGGCAGCAGUGGGGAAUAUUGCACAAUGGGCGCAAGCCUGAUGCAGCCAUGCCGCGUGUAUGAAGAAGGCCUUCGGGUUGUAAAGUACUUUCAGCGGGGAGGAAGGGAGUAAAGUUAAUACCUUUGCUCAUUGACGUUACCCGCAGAAGAAGCACCGGCUAACUCCGUG
rnacentral:rRNA from 1 species